CCUACGGGUGGCAGCAGUGAGGAAUAUUGGUCAAUGGACGAGAGUCUGAACCAGCCAAGUAGCGUGAAGGAUGACUGCCCUAUGGGUUGUAAACUUCUUUUAUAUGGGAAUAAAAUGUUCCACGUGUGGGAUUUUGUAUGUACCAUAUGAAUAAGGAUCGGCUAACUCCGUGCCAGCAGCCGCGGUAAUACGGAGGAUCCGAGCGUUAUCCGGAUUUAUUGGGUUUAAAGGGAGCGUAGGUGGAUUGUUAAGUCAGUUGUGAAAGUUUGCGGCUCAACCGUAAAAUUGCAGUUGAUACUGGCAGUCUUGAGUACAGUAGAGGUGGGCGGAAUUCGUGGUGUAGCGGUGAAAUGCUGAGAUAUCACGAAGAACUCCGAUUGCGAAGGCAGUUCACUGGACUGCAACUGACACUGAGGCUCGAAAGUGUGGGUAUCAAACAGGAUUAGAUACCCCAGUAGUC
rnacentral:rRNA from 1 species